AGAGAACCAAAGGGCAGAGUAGAAAGACACCAACAUCCUUAAACCAUGAAAAGGCCUUAUUGAAGGAUAAGGAUUAAAGGCAUAAGCAUGUUAUUUAAACCUCCAAGUGUAAUCAAGAGAACCGUCAAUGAUGAUGGCUUCAUAUCAAGAGAACUGGGAAGGCAAGAUCACAAAGCACUGGACGCCUGAGUACAACAGUGACAUAAAAGCACAUUGACACUAAUAAUCACCAGGACUUUAUCUGCAAUGGGCCAGAGCUGCAGGACUACUGGGGACUCGAUAUGGAGAGGAAGGAUACACCUGACAGCUUACUCUGGGCUCUGUGUGCAUGAAUGACUGCCUAAGAGAUCGUACUCAUUCACUUUCCUGGACACUACGGGCUUCCCACGCAUUGAGCUAAUUUUGUAUAGUGCAUGUCCCAUGUACCAGACACUGUGCUAUAUGCUGGGACAACAAGCACUGGGAAUACGUAUUUUUAAAAGCUCCCCAGGUGACUCUGAAUAUCAGCCAGGGUUGAAAAUGACCACUUGGUGUUUCACAGGGAACAAGCUCUGUGGUAAACCUAACAGAACUGGGGUCCCAACAUCACCCCCCACCUCUCCCCGCUGCUCUCUGAGGUUGAGAACUGUAUUCCCUACAAUAAUAUGGAACUCACACUCAAAACAGGAGGAGCAGAGACCGAGUCUUCCUCUUCCCUCCACCAGGCUCCUUAGCUGCAGCCCCACCGCCCUUCCUCAAUCUGGAAAGGGCAGCAAAGUGAGGGAGUGUAUCCCCCGGAAGCCUGGGGACCCUGCCUGAUCUCUGGCCUGGGAGCAGUUGGGGCUAGCACAGCCAGACAUCAUCCAUCCUUCACCCCAGGGUGCAGGCCUCAGACGUCCAACACCUCAUGACAACAGCCAUUUGGCCAGCAGCUUCUGGGAGGAUAAUGCUGAGGCCAAAACUCAACAGGCAGAAGUAACUUGCCCCAAGUAUUGGUCCUGCUUGGAGGCAAAACAAUCAGUAGGUUGAUGACAGCCUGAUGCUUGAGAAAUCAUUUUUUUAAAAAGACGGGGGGGGGGGGGGGGUGGGGGGGGUUGAAGAUUGCUUAAAAGCAGCCCUUUAACUCAGAAGGCAGUUCCAUCCACCUUACAAAUUCAAUGCCCUCUGAAUACACAUCUAUCUGUCACAGCAGGGAAUCUUUUAACUAGCAAAAGAGCAAGAGAAGGAAUUCAGAUCAACAUCGCGGGCUGUAGCAAUAAAGCCCUGCCGUGGAUUCACCCCUUUCCCUCGAGGCAGGAAAGAAUCAAGGAAGAAUUUCAAAAUCUUUUUAUACAAUUAAAGAAAGGGAUUUGGUGGGAGAAGGGAGCAAGGAGGACAAGAUCAAGAAUGUAAGGUUUGCUAUUUUAAGCUCAAAAUAAAUCAUGAUAAGAAAGGACUAGAAGGUUUGAUUUUAUUUCUCAGAUCUUCUCCAUGGCAGGAACAGUAUCUGGUGUUUGGGGGAGGGGGGGGCAAACUGUCAGGCCAGCAUCAGUCUUUUCACCCCCUCAUCCAGUUCCCCCAAAAUAAAACCAGUCUGUCGUGUGCUUCCAGAAUUUUACAAUCUUGAAUUACGGCUUUGAAAUAAUUCGGAUUCCACUAUAACAAAUCUCAGAGAUAUGAGGCAGGCUACAAAGAAAAUCCAGCAAAAUAUAUCCAAAGAACUGUAUCCAAGAUGGUAGCAGGAAAAAGAACCAGACAAUAUGAUAAAUUUGGCACACGAGGACCAGCGAAUGACGUACCAAACCAGUAAAGACAGCUCCCUAAGAAAUACACAUUCACGGGGCCGGCCCCGUGGCCGAGUGGUUAAGUUUGUGUGCUCCGCUGCGGCGGCCCAGGGUUUGGAUCCUGGGCACGGACAUGGCACCACUCAUCAGGCCACGUUGAGGCGGCGUCCCACAUCCCACAACUAGAAGGACCUGCAACUAGGAUAUACAACUGUGUACAGGGGGGGUUUGGGGAGAUAAAGCAGGAAAAAAAGAAAAAGAUUGGCAACAGUUGUUAGCCCAGGUGCCAAUCUUUAAAAAAAAAAAAGGAAAUACACAGUCACUAUUUCCCAAAACUAUUUUAGAACCCACUCUUGUCAACCAUUACUUUCUAGAAGCCUAACUUUUACAACAUCCAAUCCUUGAUCAUUUAUGAUACAAAAGAAAACAAAAGCGGGUGGAACCAUAGUACUGUGCAUUAUAAAAAACAUUUCCUUGAGAGAACCAAAGUUCUGAAGAUACAUACAUCAGUCAGCUGCUUGGCAACUUUAAGGUCGACACCUGUGGGGAUCGACAGACAGCCCAGGUGUGGGUUGUUUUUAUCACUUCGCUUCAUCAGUGUACUUCUACAUUUUGGCUUGGCCCUGUCAGAUCUUUUCUUCUCUCAAACCAGUGAGAAAAGUGUACAUAUGCUAAUAUAUGUUAAUAUACAGUCGCACGCUGCAUAAGGACACUUUGGGACCACAUAUACGAUGACGGUGGUCCCAUGAGAUUAGUCCCAGAUAGGCUAGGUGUGCAGUGGCUCUACCACCUAGGUUUGUGUAAGUACACUCUGUGAUGUUCGCACAACAACAAAAUUGCCCAAGGAUGCAUUUCUUAGAACGUAUCCCGUCGUUAAGCGACACAUGACCGUGCACACACAUAUACAUGUUUAUAAAAUGGAUCUCAACCCCCCAAAAACCUUCUUUACCUCUUUUCAGAUUUAAAAGCUUAUCACUCACUUCAUUUGAACUCUCUUAACAAUCACAAAGUUGGAGACCAGUGUUGUAACCACAGCACUCAGGAACUAGACUGUAGUUUUUAUUGCCUAUUCUCUGUUGAGAUGCCCAAGUUCUCUUUUUGAAGACAUGUGUGGUUAAAUCCAGCAUCUUUUUUAAUAAAUACAUUUCUUUAAAUGUAAGCCAGGGGGUGUCUGUCAGCUGUGGGGAAACAAA
ensembl:lncRNA